GGAAUUCCCUCUUAGGUGUGAAGUAUGCGGUGGAGCCAUCUGCUUAGCCCUCCACGCACCUGCAGGACACUCCUGUUUGACAAGCUCAGAUUAUGCAGCAGUGGAAAGGCCUCUCCGGGAGGUGGAGAAAGAUGUCCAGGAUACUGAUGAGGUCCGUUUUCUGUGGAGUCUGAACCAGUGUCUCAGAAUAUCCAGGUGCAUUAUACAGCAGUUCGUCUGAUACUGCAGGUAAAGGAGGCGGGCACGUCAAGCCAUCAGGGUUCGACGCCGAUGAUGAAAUGACAGCGACUGGUCCAGUUUCGGAUGAGCUGGGUAGGCUCCGGUGGGCGGCCGGCAGAGACCCGAAUACACAAUUUCAGACGGCAGGAAAUGGUAUCAGGACCUCUCCAGGGUAUACCCCUCGAUGUAUAGCCGGUCCAACAAGCUGCCUUUUUCCUGAGGCAACCUUGCUCAGGGAUCCAUCGAAGACACAUAUGUGGCAGCUGGGUUCUACCUUGUCCGGAGCAGGUAGGUUGUGGAACAAUUGUCCUCUAGGUUACAGGAUGUUUCGCAUCAGGAUCAUUUGAUACUUUGGUAUAGGUCAGAAUCACGAUUCUGCUUUAUGUUCUUUGGAGGUCUCCACGUCUGCAGACUCGGAACCUGCAUUUUCGUUUGGGCUGUCUUAACCCGACGACCUCUGGGGCUGCGACAGUGACAGGUGAACAUGAAAUCCUACGGGGCAGAUGGUUCGGAGGAAGGAACUUUCUGCAGAAUUUCUUGAGCCAUUGGAGGUAAGUCCACUUUGCUUUAUCCUACUACUGCCCCAGCUCCAAGAUAGACCUUUACCGGUCUUUCCUUUAGAUUUUUCCGUGCCCUUUCAAGCUUUCGACUCCACACGGGCGAUAUCUCCGUCGCCAGGGGAUCUCAGGGUAAAAGGCUGAAGCAGAGGUUCAACAGCCUCGGUCCAGUCUGAUUUUAGGUCAUCCUAUACACCCACUACAGGUCAGACCUUCCUACCACCUGGAGGGUCCCAGGAUAGGCGCAUGUCAGUGGGAGAAGGCUUGGGCGGUUACAGUCUAGAUUUUGGAGUACAACCGUCUCAGGAGUCCCUCGGCAUGGGUCGGACGAUUUACGAUGACAAGAGUCAUACUGCAGGCGGCGCUUCAUAUGCUCCUAACCGCAAAGGGUGUUGAUUCCUGUUUUUCACAUAUCAUUUGAAUCGGGACAGUUCUCAGGUCUUUGUUUUCUUUUCACGUUCCGAAGCCAGUGGGCUUGGCCAGGCAUAUUCUGGCCUUAGAAUCCUUUCAGUCUGUGAUUGCUAGUUUGAACAAGAAAGGGAGUUUUAAGUGUCCCUUGUCUUCAGAGAUGCCUGUUUACUGAUUUCGGUUGGGUUUCCUCAUCGGGCUUUUCUCAGAUUCGCAUUACAGGAUUCUCAUUUUAACUGUCAGUCCUUUCCUUUCGGUCUCUUUUCCGAUCCCACAGGGUUCUGGAAGUUCGCAGACUAACUUUUUCAAAGGCAGGAGGUGACGUUGGUUCCCUAAUGGGACAAUCUACUGCUACUAUCCCACUCUGUACAUUAGGUGGCUUCUGAAUAUCCGGAGGAUCCAGGAGCUUCUGGUUCGACACAGAUCCAAGUUAUGCUCCUCGUAGACGUUUUCUCAACACGGUCCGUCAAAGGAUUUUUCGUUCCUCGGCACCAGGUACUCUAUUUCUUCAGUCAAGUUGUGACACAAUGAGUGGUCGCCUACAUUCCCCUCUGAGCGGGGGACAACAAUCUUCUUUCCAGAUCAGGCCACCAGGUCAGACUCCUGGGUGAGGGAACAUUCCCCGGAGUUUUGUCAGCUGGUCUGCUGUGGGCGGAGAUUCCGAAUCGACCUCAGGGCGUUCUGACUGACUCUUUAACCCUUUACUACUCAGGGACGUGAGCUCUGGUGGCAGUAGCCGAGGAUGCCCUCAGGGCUCCUGGGAGUUUUCUGGUUAUUCUAUCUUGCCGCCUUUUCUUUCUCUAUCGUC